rnacentral:rRNA from 2 species
UGGGGAAUUUUGCACAAUGGGGGAAACCCUGAUGCAGCGACGCCGCGUGAUUUAGAAGGCCUUCGGGUUGUAAAAAUCUUUUCUAUGGGAAGAAAAUGACAGUACCAUAGGAAUAAGGACCGGCUAAUUACGUGCCAGCAGCCGCGGUAAUACGUAAGGUCCGAGCGUUGUCCGGAAUCAUUGGGCGUAAAGGGUACGUAGGCGGGUAAGCAAGUUAGAAGUGAAAUCCUGUAGCUCAACUACAGUAAGCUUUUAAAACUGCUCAUCUUGAGAUAUGGAAGGGAAAGUGGAAUUCCUAGUGUAGCGGUGAAAUGCGCAGAUAUUAGGAGGAAUACCGGUGGCGAAGGCGACUUUCUAGCCAUAAUCUGACGCUGAGGUACGAAAGCGUGGGUAGCAAACAGG